GUGUGUGUGUGUGUGUGUGUGUGUGUGUGUGUGUGUGUGUGUGUAUAUAUAUAUAUAUAUACGUACACACACACACUCACAAACACAUUC
rnacentral:miRNA from 1 species